AGGAAGUAGCUGUAUCUGUCAAACAAAGUAUUUACGAAAUUCCAGGUGCACCGCGAAUACUUUCGAUCUCUGUUUCAAAUUCAAACUACAAAUCUCAAAUAAUCCUAGAACACUUUUAUUCUACAGUGGAUUGUCAGACAAAGAUGAUUUGGUGAGUGUCGGUGAAAAUGUAUUUUUAAGAAAAGUUCUUUUCAAUGCAUAUAAAAAUUUCAACAAGCAUCCAUCGUUCUAAUUGCACGUUUGGAUGAGGAGUAACCUCGAAAUUUCUACUGAACUCAAGAAGAAGCAAUACGUCUAUCGAUUUAAUUCUGACUAGAGACUCGUCUCUUAUCAUUACAUCUCAGAUUAAAUGCUUCAGUGAUAGUGAAGGCAGAUAAAGCCAAAACAUGGACAGCAUCUCCACACUCAUUUUCUCGGCUCUCCUUCUGACAUCGGCGAUUCUGCUCAUCAUCUUCACAUCAAAAAUCGUCACGAAGCUGAUAUUCGUGCGAAGGUGGGAUUCUCCGUUCGCCUGCUUGCAGCACGCCUCUCCUGACAUUCGUCUCUACCUAGCCAUGACGCCAGGGCAGCAUCCUUAUUUUCGAGUACUGGAGAUAUAUGAACAAAAGAUAGGCGGUUUCGCCACCAGCAUAGAGGACGUCAGUGAAAAGGAAAAACAGAGUUUGAUACCUUGAAAAUGGAAGUGCUAAUUAAGAGAUUUCUAAAGACCGUCAAGAACUCUUCCUCUUGAUCGCUUGCCUCUGCCAAUAACUUUCGUUAUCCUUUGUCUAAUUUUUCCCUUUUAUUAGGAAAAUAAACAUUUUCACUCAUAGAUAAUAAUGAUGCUUUAUUGCAAACUACUCACUUUUGGCAACAAAGUGAUUCAUUGAAAAUAUUGGUUGUAUUGAAUUGUGGUUAAAUCUCUUGUGCUUCA